UUAAUUUGAGAGUUUGAUCCUGGCUCAGGACGAACGCUGGCGGCGUGCCUAAUACAUGCAAGUCGAACGAACUCUGGUAUUGAUUGGUGCUUGCAUCAUGAUUUACAUUUGAGUGAGUGGCGAACUGGUGAGUAACACGUGGGAAACCUGCCCAGAAGCGGGGGAUAACACCUGGAAACAGAUGCUAAUACCGCAUAACAACUUGGACCGCAUGGUCCGAGUUUGAAAGAUGGCUUCGGCUAUCACUUUUGGAUGGUCCCGCGGCGUAUUAGCUAGAUGGUGAGGUAACGGCUCACCAUGGCAAUGAUACGUAGCCGACCUGAGAGGGUAAUCGGCCACAUUGGGACUGAGACACGGCCCAAACUCCUACGGGAGGCAGCAGUAGGGAAUCUUCCACAAUGGACGAAAGUCUGAUGGAGCAACGCCGCGUGAGUGAAGAAGGGUUUCGGCUCGUAAAACUCUGUUGUUAAAGAAGAACAUAUCUGAGAGUAACUGUUCAGGUAUUGACGGUAUUUAACCAGAAAGUCACGGCUAACUACGUGCCAGCAGCCGCGGUAAUACGUAGGUGGCAAGCGUUGUCCGGAUUUAUUGGGCGUAAAGCGAGCGCAGGCGGUUUUUUAAGUCUGAUGUGAAAGCCUUCGGCUCAACCGAAGAAGUGCAUCGGAAACUGGGAAACUUGAGUGCAGAAGAGGACAGUGGAACUCCAUGUGUAGCGGUGAAAUGCGUAGAUAUAUGGAAGAACACCAGUGGCGAAGGCGGCUGUCUGGUCUGUAACUGACGCUGAGGCUCGAAAGUAUGGGUAGCAAACAGGAUUAGAUACCCUGGUAGUCCAUACCGUAAACGAUGAAUGCUAAGUGUUGGAGGGUUUCCGCCCUUCAGUGCUGCAGCUAACGCAUUAAGCAUUCCGCCUGGGGAGUACGGCCGCAAGGCUGAAACUCAAAGGAAUUGACGGGGGCCCGCACAAGCGGUGGAGCAUGUGGUUUAAUUCGAAGCUACGCGAAGAACCUUACCAGGUCUUGACAUACUAUGCAAAUCUAAGAGAUUAGACGUUCCCUUCGGGGACAUGGAUACAGGUGGUGCAUGGUUGUCGUCAGCUCGUGUCGUGAGAUGUUGGGUUAAGUCCCGCAACGAGCGCAACCCUUAUUAUCAGUUGCCAGCAUUAAGUUGGGCACUCUGGUGAGACUGCCGGUGACAAACCGGAGGAAGGUGGGGAUGACGUCAAAUCAUCAUGCCCCUUAUGACCUGGGCUACACACGUGCUACAAUGGAUGGUACAACGAGUUGCGAACUCGCGAGAGUAAGCUAAUCUCUUAAAGCCAUUCUCAGUUCGGAUUGUAGGCUGCAACUCGCCUACAUGAAGUCGGAAUCGCUAGUAAUCGCGGAUCAGCAUGCCGCGGUGAAUACGUUCCCGGGCCUUGUACACACCGCCCGUCACACCAUGAGAGUUUGUAACACCCAAAGUCGGUGGGGUAACCUUUUAGGAACCAGCCGCCUAAGGUGGGACAGAUGAUUAGGGUGAAGUCGUAACAAGGUAGCCGUAGGAGAACCUGCGGCUGGAUCACCUCCUUUCUAAGGAA
rnacentral:rRNA from 2 species